UAAAGUGGAUUAGCGGCGGACGGGUGAGUAACACGUGAGUAACCUGCCUUAGACAUUGGGAUAGCCUCGGGAAACCGGGAUUAAUACCAAAUAAAAUCAUAAUGACACAUGUCAUAACGAUCAAAACUCCGGUGGUCUAAGAUGGACUCGCGUCCCAUUAGCUAGUUGGUAGAGUAAAAGCCUACCAAGGCGACGAUGGGUAGCCGGCCUGAGAGGGUGAACGGCCACAUUGGAACGGAGAAACGGUCCAA
rnacentral:rRNA from 1 species